ensembl:lncRNA
CUUUUAAGCUGAGCUGAUUAUUUUUUAGCGUUGGAGUUGUAGCUGGAUUGCGAGAUUGUAUUUUCUCUGCCAUUAACCCAGAUAUCCAAAAUGGCAGCCUCGGGGUAUGUUUGAUUGCUCCUCCCGAAUCCUUUGAACUUCAGUGCAAUCAGACAGUCCCAACUUCUGCUACUUUUUGCCAUAGAACGGGAAAAGGUAUCUGUCUGUCACAGCAUUCCCAGAAGUCACGAUAAGAAGCAAGUCUUUGUCUUGAAAUGCCAUUUUUGAACUUGGAUUGACACCACCGCCUCCGACAUUUAUGGGCAGCUCUGUCCGUCAGCCAUGCAAAUGAUUCAUCCACGUUGUUGCAUAGAGUGCAUUCAAACAUGAGCUGUCACAGCUAAUCCCAAAUCUUGUUUUAGUCGUCAGGGCUGUGGGAACACAUUUAGCGACGACAGAGAGAUUUUCAUCUCCUUGCAACCAGAAGGACAGAAUGUUUGUCAAAUAGUUUCCUCUGAAAAAAGCAAAUUAAAGCCUUUCGCAAAAACAAAAGAAGGAGAGAGGAAAAACAAGUAAACAACCUUUUUAUAGGCAAGGCCACAACUUGGCCUGAAGUCAGUCGACAUUUUACUUUGAAGAAAUUCUGCAGUUGAAGCCUAAAUAGUUUACUUACCUUUUAGUAAUUCAUGUGUGGAAAGGGAUUGUCAGAAGACAACAGCGAGUUUGUCUCGAUGCCAGGUAGUGAUACCGCCGCUUUGGUCGUGUUUCAAAGGGUUUGUAGGUAAGAAGCCGAUGAGGGAUCAACAUCCUUCUCCCUCCAAGAUUGAUGCUGUUUGAAGUUCUAACUGCUGUACUGUAAUGAAAAACAGACUGGACCAUGAAACUCGACACAUGGCUGUGAACUUGUCCUUCAUGGAGACGGCCUAGCUGUGAUGAAGUCUGGCAGGAUGUUGCUGUACUGUAGGAAUGAAUGUAUUCAAGCAGAGAGUCAUGAAGCGAACGCACCACUGUUUCCUGAGAGCCAACCGAAGAGGCAGUAACCUGUCGCCAGAUAAAGUGCUCGUUAUACACGUACUGCUCAUCCUCGAUUCAGGUUACCCUUCAGCAGGCACCGAGCUGUGAACGGGGGGCUCGCCGCGCACUGUCAAUGUAAACAAGCUGAACUCACCUUUGUCCCGGGCGUCCCUCGGCGCUCUCUGCUCGUGGGCACUUCAGGGCAGCGCGGGAGACUGACGUGUCUGAAUGUAAGCGACAGAGCAGAACAGGAACAGGGGGAGGAUCGCUUUGCAAAGCCGGCCCUUUGGGCCAAAACAGAGAGGCAGCACUGGCUCGAUCUAGUCGGGGAGCCUUGAAUGUCAGAAGCCUUCUUUUUUUCCUGGCCCCUUGUCACAACAAAACGCCGUCAAAGUCUAAUAAAUAAUAAAGGCUGCGCUUCGGUGUGUGGGAUUCAGAGAAAAUAAUAGCAGGACGUCUUUAACUGAGACAUUAUGUUUGGGGGCUCGUGCAAUAAAAAGCUUGACAUAAGCCGCAAAUUCUAUUGUAAACGUCAACAGUAAAACUAACUAUAAAACUGGGCAAUCACCUUCACUCUGCCAGCCACAAUCUGCACCCUAGAAAUGUGUCCAAGGCGUGUUGCUGUUGAUAAAACAAACCUCUUCAUUUCUUUCCACUGUGUUUCUUCCUGCACCAUGGCAGCAUGGCAUGCCUCGUCUUUAGAGGAACAUUAAUUCCCUCUGCUCACUUUUAAGGCAAAGUAGGCUACAUAAUAAUACAUUUUAUUUAUAUAGUGCUUUACAUGGUAGGCUACUCAAAGACACUUUAUGGUAAAACCAGCACAUUUAGCACAUAAACACAGAUAACAGCAAUUAAACCAACACAUAAAACAAUCAUUGAAAGCAUUUAAAACAGUUCCUAGUAAGUAGAUAUUUUUAAAUCUUUCUACAUUCAGUCGGUCCGGUCUGUCUGCCAGGCUACUUCUCUCUGUUUAAUUACAGCUGCCGUUUUUUCUUUACUUUUGCAUAUUAUAUGCUUCAUAAGUUUCCAUGAUUAGUUGCUACUCAGCGGUGAAAAAUAUGCCGCACGCGUCUCCAUUUCUGCAUCAGUAAAUCUGUGAUCAAUACGGUGGUCUUUUUUAAGAAAGCCGUGAACGUGCACUGAUCCCAGCUAUGUGCACCUGGAUUGACUUAGCUCCCUUUUCUCAUCCUGGCUCGGCAAACGUGCAACCGAUUAAGCCGCGAUGAGCCAAUCAGACCACGUCAAGCUGCGCCUUUUCAGUUAUCCUGGAUUUCUUUAUUCUACUUUUGUGCAAUAGCCCCCUGGUUACCUUAGCUUAGCUUAGUAUACAGACAGAAAACAGUGACAAAAAACUAAUACAACAAAGUUGCAACGUGUCGUUGCGUAUAUAAUGAUGACAACAAAGUCCUGUCAAAGGUUUUCAGUGUGUUUUGUGUGACCCAGAUGUAUAAACCGGCACAAAGUCACAUAUGCCAACUCGCCAGAUAUUUGACACAUCGGCGACUAUCUUCGAAAACUCAAAGGCAAGGAACCAAGACAGACAAAUGGGACAUUUGACCCAGAUAUGUGGAAGAGAAUACCUGAAGCUGCAGUACGGAUCUGAAGCAUAUACUCAUCAAAUCGUAUUCUGUUAAUUCUGCAUAUUGGAAUUGAAGAAACUCCUCCGCAGUGCGGCGCUGUAAUGUUGUGCACUUAUAUGUCAAGACGCCCACACAUCCCAUCACAUGGUUCAGUGAAGCUGCUCGGUGGUUGCCUCUCCAGAUGGAUUCUUUUCCAAGGCCAAGAUCACGGUCUUGAUUCAUUUUGUGCAGAUGUGUUUGAUUCUGUAGUGAAGAAAACCUUUUUGUUGAAUUCAAGACAUCUUCAUUUUUGGAUUGUACUUUACCAUUUUCCGGCUAUGUUUACCCAGAAUGCUGCAUUAUUUGCUUGAGGCAAUAUAAUAAAAAAAGCAGGGAGGAAAACAAUAUUGCUGCGUGUUGUAGUGUCUGACAAUAUACUGAAUGGGAAUGCUUUGCUCUCUUCUUAGAGAAAUGGCAUUGUUUGAUUUUGAAACAAGAGUAACCAUGACCAUAAAUAGAUUUAUUUCAAAACACCAGAUUUAAUAGUUUCUGUGACACCGUCAAACAUCUAGAUGGGAAGAGCCAAAAUGCUGAGGUGGAUUGUCAAUUCCAACACCACUUGUGAGAUGGUUGCAGUGAUCGCGUAUGACAUAAGGUCAUUACAUCUAAUGGGUUUGCAUUAUAUGGCAAAAUAUUGAGGUGAAUGCUGAAAGCCUAUUUGGAAUAGAGUCUUGGCUCGCCGGUAUAUUCAUUCAUUUCACGCCUGUGUGGGAAACAGCUGGGCAGCCUUACACAAAAUGAGGCUUGUUAAUUUUCUGAAGUUUCGAGGAGAUUAAGAUUGUUUAUGUACGGCUGUCCAAAUGAUUACAAGAAAGGCUCUCACGGCCUGAGCCCAGGGAUUAGAAAGGCAAAAGAAACUUUAAUGUAAAAUGGCCUGUUAUUUCAUACCAGCGAGGAGUGUGGGGACCAGAUGUUAUCUUUGUGUGGGUAAUGGGUUAUCGCAUCUUCAGGCACAGAUUACAGAUUUACUGUCCCUCACUCCCUCUCUUAGAUAUCAUUGAGGUUUUUAUUAUCUUGUCCACACACUGUCACCUCAAUGACUCAGCUCCUUUUUCAGCAUCUUACUCCUCGUCACCUCGUUUAAACUCUCACACCAAUCUUAAUGGCUCUAUCACCAUAAACAUAUCACUGAAGUCCAGCAAUGACUUUCCGGUGAUUAACUUUCAUACUGCAGUGCUAAAGCUGAUGGGAAGAUCGGGAAUUUAUUUGGCCAGAGUUUUGAGGAUUAGGAAUAGUAAUGAAUUGUUUGGAUUUUGCGACUCAGAAGGAGAUUGUGAAUAGAGAGAUCCACUCAUCAAAAAAUGUAAUGUCUUGCAAGUCAGAUGUCAAAAUAUAACAAAUAAUCUGCUAGAACAAUUAACCGAGAGGCCAGAUUUGGACUGGGUCAUUUAGCUAGUAUCCACCCAAAUUGUAUUGUCAAAUGUGUGAAUUUCCAUUGUUGUUCACAGCGAUCAAACCUAAAAUGAUCCAUUAUUUAUUCAAAACAAACUUCCUCACAGCCACCGGCUUAGAAACUAAACUUAGUUUAAGUUGCUGUCGACUUUCUCUGACUGUCUUUGUUCCUCUGGCCCCCGACGUAAGGGAUUAAAACAUAUUCUGUGGACCCAUGUGAGCCUUCUCAUUAUCACGCACCAAUGUAAGUGGGAUGAUGUCAAAGGAUCACAGAGCCACAUAUUGCUAGUUAUAUAACCAUCCCAUAGCAAAGUCCAAAAGCUUUCUGAAAAAGUCAAUCCUUUGUAUGGGGGAAUUUAGAUUUAAGUUUUCAUCUAACACCGGACAAUAUUGGACAAACGGCCAUUUUGACCUGAUCUUGGUGCUGAUGUUAAUUGAGAUGUUUCAGCACGGAUCAAAGUGGUGCAACGAUCAGCUGACGUUGCCGUCCAAUGAGCCAAUCCCUUAAAAUGAACAAGAGGACAACGAGUGUAUAAUUGGGAUGAAAAAAAGCCAAUGGUCGGUCCCCAUCAUUAUGAUAGUUGCCGUUCAAGAUAGCAGAGAUAGAAAAUGUUGACGGCUCAUUAAAAAACACAUCACAGGAUUUUAAGUACAGUUUACAGACGUGUACGGAUUCAGCACUGUCUAUAUGCUGCAUUACAGAGUAGUCACAGAUACGUUGGAGGAAUUCUAGCCAGUAAACUGUGAACCCAAUUUUCUAUCUGGUAACUAUACCCCUGUGGAGGCAUGUGGAAGAGACGAAGACACAGCAUGUCCUGUCCAUAGGAUCUGAUAAAUACACCUACACCUAUUGAUCCUCAUCCUUCUGCACAGCGUUUCAUCCAGCUGAGCUCUCCCGUCAUUUAUUAUUGAAGAGAAAGCCUUUUUUUACUCUCUUUACACCUGAAGGACAGCCGCUGACUGCUUCAAUUCCUCGAGCUAUAGCCAAAUGUCUGCCACUGAGUCUACAUCUGGAACUUUUGUCACGGGAGUAUGCGUCUUAACAACCUUUUUGACCAGAUAAGUUCAUUACAAGAAAGUCUGUCCGAGAACAGGCUGCUCUCUGCGGCGUGAGAUGCGGCUGACCGCCCAUGGCUGGAGGAGUCAGGAGGUCCCGUUAACUAGACCUCACAUCUCCGACAUCCUUGUAGCAAAUCGUUAUCAAGGCUGAAUGUUGAUAAACCGACCGCAGAAAUGUUGCUUGAACAACUAACUUCUUGUCUGAAAAAGUCAUAAAAUUGCAUUCUGUGACUUAAAUAUGCCUUCCGGUAUGCUAGUGAGAUUUUAUGUAUACAAACUAGCGUGAUGCUCUUACAUUUACUAGUGUGAUGCUCUUAAAUUCACUAGUGAGAUGCUCUUACAUUCACUAGUGUGAUGAUCUUACAUUCACUAGUGAGAUGCUCUUACAUUCACUAGUGUGAUGCUCUUAAAUUUACUAGUGAGAUGCUCCUACAGUCACUAGUGAGAUGCUCUUACAUUCACUAGUGUGAUGCUCUUACAUUCACUAGUGAGAUGCUCUUACAUUCACUAGUGUGAUGCUCUUAAAUUUACUAGUGAGAUGCUCCUUCAGUCACUAGUGAGAUGCUCUUACAUUCACUAGUGUGAUGCUCUUAAAUUUACUAGUGAGAUGCUCCUACAGUCACUAGUGAGAUGCUAUUACAUUCACUAGUGUGAUGCUCUUACAUUCACUAGUGAGAUGCUCUUACAUUCACUAGUGAGGUGCUCUUAAAUUUACUAGUGAGAUGCUCCUACAGUAACUAGUGUAAUGCUCUUACAUUCACUAGUGUGAUGCUCUUACAUUCACAAGUGAGAUGCUCCUAGUCACUGGUGAGAUGCUCUUACAUUCACUAGUGUGAUGCUCUUACAGUUACUAGUGAGAUGCUUUUAUGCGCACUAGUGUGAUGCUCUUACAUUCACUAGUGAGAUGCUCCUACAGUCACUAGUGAGAUGCUCCUACGGUCACUAGUGAGAUGCUCUUACAUUCACUAGUGAGAUGUUCUUACAGUUGCUAGGGAAAUGCUUUUAUGCGCACUAGUGUGAUGCUCUUACAUUCACUAGUGAGAUGCUCCUACAGUCACUAGUGAGAUGCUCUUACAUUCACUAGUGAGAUGCUCUUACAUUCACUAGUGUAAUUCUCUUACAGUCACUAGUGAGAUGGUCUUACAUUCACUAGUGAGAUGUUCUUACAGUUACUAGUGAGAUGCUCCUACAGUCACUAGUGAGAUGCUCCUACAGUCACUAGUGAGAUGCUCUUACAUUCACUAGUGAGAUGCUUCUAGUCACUAGUGAGAUGCUCUUACAUUCACUAGUGUGAUGCUCCUACAGUCACUAGUGAGAUGCUCUUACAUUCACUAGUGUGAUGCUCUUACAUUCACUAGUGUGAUGCUCCUACACUCACAAGUGAGAUCCUCUUACAGUUAUUGGUGAGAAGCGCUUAUAUGAACUACUGUUUCCUUAGUACGCGUGAGAGAGUCUCAGUAGUUAAGUCCUAAACGGCCCCUCAUACGGCGAGGCUGUAAAGGUAGACUGGUCAGCGUGACAACACUUCUCCUUUAGCCACUAGCAACCGCCUUUUAAAAACAGAUCAAAACUUGAUCAAAAAUGCUUUCUAAAAAAACAUUGAAUAAAUGAUGAGUAAACCAGAUACGGCCUCUUUAUGAUGUCAUAUAAUGAGUGACCCUUGUAGAAGGAACAAGGAGGUACAGUCUAGUUCAGAGAAACGAGCAUUUGUUUCUUCACCCUUGUUUUGUUAGUCCCCUGAGAAAGUGCAACACUAAAUUGCUGGAGAACACCUUUAAUCAAGUUUCCACAAACUAAUUACUAACGAAUCACUAUGGAAUUCACACUGCGCCGAAAGUGAAGGAUAACAGGUACAGCUUGAAAACCCCAAAUAGGAUAAAUCUGGCACCUGAUUUUUUUAUGUGCUUGCGCACACACACACACACACACACACACACACACACACACACACACACACACACACACACACACACACACACACACACACACACUAAUUAUGUUUCUUGAUAUGAAGAGCAUAAACCUUCUCUAGAAUAAGGACAGACUCUAAGUUGCAGGUUUGAGCAAAUAGAUAUUGUCUGCCUGUAGUAAACGACCAGUCAUAAUGCAUUUUCAGGACAGGACUUCUGAUAUCUUCCAGACUUCAUUUGCAUUUGUUACAGAAAAGAAGAAAUAAACUAAACCUAAAAAGGCUCAUGUGGGGUUGCUCAAACAUGAUAAAAGGUUUCAGGCGAGCCAAACAUGACGGUUAGGGAUGAACAGAGCAUGCAGUACACUGGCUAGUUGAACACACUUUCCCAUGUCCAUGUGUAUGUGUGUGUGUCCCCAACACGGAGACGUUAACAGGCUUACCGAAGCAAUCUCAUCCUCGUCCCUCUUUGCUGAGCUCAAAUCUCGGUCUAACUCAUUUCUUCCUCUUAAAGGGCCUGGCAUGUAUAACACAGAGUGUUAUGUGCCACGUGGUAUUUUUCCUCCUUUUCAAAUUCAUGAUGUCAAAUUCACACACAUCUCAAAAUCUCGGUCAAAAACUCCACACAGCGGGAUCGAUACAAAUGGGUUGUUAUUGGAUGUGAUUUGAGGAGGUUGUUUUGUGGACCUUCCAGCAAUGGGAUAAUUCCCCCUACACAGCGCAGCGAUCGAUCGGGAAAUGGCCGUGCGGCAGAUGCAGUCAAUUUUCCAGAUUUCUUUUCCUCAUUCCAGUCCAUGACGCCAGAUUGGACUGGUUUAACCAACCCAAGCAGAGAGAUGUGAACUUCCCGAAAAAAACACAAGAUCCGCAUUGGUUUCCACAGCUUCAGCUGUUGGGGGGCUUCAGCCGCCGACAGAGAUGUGCCUCUAUCUUGCGUUUGUAUGGUGAACCUUUGCCUGUCCCAGCGAGGCAGGUGUUUUGUGGUUUCAUUCGCUCCCUCAACCCCAAGAAUUCAAUGAGCCGCAGCUGCAUAUUAAGGAGUGCAAUCGUAGGCUCUGCCCUCACUCAUGGCCUGACAUUCACGAGGACAGAUGCCGGCUCCCACUGUAAUGGGUGCUAUGAGUAUUACAUGUCACAGCAGCUGGGAGAGGGUUGGGGAAAAGGGGAAUGCACUCGGACUCCCAAUGUGUAAUAACCUUUUUCCAGCGCAGUUUAUUUCAAAGAGACGUUAAUAACGUUGAAACUUCCGUUUUGGUUUUCUACAUUAAAAAAAACAGAGAUUGGAACAGAGAAUCAGGAAUCAGGAAACAUUUAUUGCCAAAAUAUGUCAAACAUACAAGGAAUUUGUCUUGGCGGUUGGUGCGUGACAGUAGACAGUGUAACAAUAGACAACAAGACAGCAGUGCACAAGUAAUAAAAUAAAGUAAAAUGAAAUGCUAAUGCAAUGGGUUAGUAGAACAAGGCUAUGGGUUAGUAUAAAGUUAAAAGUUUUUUGACAACAGAUCAGUUUGAGCAUGAUUUUCUGAACUUAAUUUAGUUUAAGUCUCCCAAUUUGUUGUGACUGUUCACCCGAGAGCACCUUGAAAAGGCACACAAUCCAACACAACCCAACACAAUCAACGUGUUCACAGUAGAGGAUUUGUUUACGUGAAACAAAUACCAGAUCACGUCCCUCUCCAAGUGGCUGUCACUGUAUAUUGUCUUCUUGUCGAAAGAAGAAAAAUACUGUCCUGAACGGAUAUAAGACAAUAACAGUUAGCUGUCAUGUGCACUCAAAGAAGGAUACACUAUUAUUCGCUAAUACAAAAAAAAUGUUUUUGUUAACUUAUUCCCUCAGCCAACGGCCAACAUUUCAAAACUUCAAAGAACUGUUUCCAGACCCCCAUUCUACUGUGAAUCAAAUAAGAGAUAUGAUAUAAUUGCCUCAUAUGAAUAAUUCAGUUGUGGGAUUAACUAUAAAACAAAAUUAUUAUCAGGGGUUUCCCUCAAGGUCCUGCGGUCUGCUUUUCCCAUUUCCGACGCCUGGCUGCUCGGAAAGAAUCUGAAGUCUCUAUCUUCUUGCUCUCCCGCCUCCUGUGAUGCCCACCAGGACAACGGAGUCAGCAGAACUCACACUGACUGACACCAAGUCGCUGCCGACAAACAGCCGGCUCCUGCUGCAACAAUGUGGCUCUGUAGAUUAAGACUUCGCCCUUCAGACACACAACAAGCAGGGUGCUGUGUUUCUGCGCGAAUUCUAAAGAGGUGACGUAUUCUGCCCUUAAUAAGCUUGUUUACAGUGAAGAGCGGAGAGGGGGGGGGAUGCAAAGUGGAUCACAGGACAGAUUAUGCCGUUUUUAAUCAUUUUUUAUGACUGAACAGGCAGAACAACAGACCUUGUUUGUGCUUGCUAGACAGGAUAACAGAGAUCUACCUUAUUUAUUUUUCUGAACCCACAUCUGUCGAGAAAAUGGCGGAUAGGCUUUUAGCACUUUAAAGCACGACCAGAGUACUCCCCUGCGAGGUCAGAUUUUGUAGGCGUUUUGUUUUCCCUUCACGAAAUCUAUUGAUGUGAAAGCCUAAACUACAAGGUUUAACAUUGACCUCAACAAACUCCUCUAUUUCUCUGGCUGUCUGUGACUGCUCCUGAGAGUUACCACACGUUGCAGCUUCCUUUUCCUCAGAGCUGUCUAUACUGGUUCAGGGUUCAGGGUUCCUUACAUAUCAAAUCCAUCCCGGUUAUCGGAAAUUUGCCUCCCCCCGGAUUUGGCCCACAGUGCUCAUGGGAGAUUACAGACAAAGCCGAGUCAAAGCCGGAGCCAGAGUUCACUUUGCUUUUGGUACCAGCUGGCAGACACCUUUGUUCUUAUGUGAAGAGGUAACUUUGGCUGUUAAGGGCAUGAACUGACUGUGGGAGUCGGCUCUUUAAAAAAUCUUUCCCACAUGGCGGAGGGAGCAUUUGAAGACAUAGCUUUGGAGCGUAAACGUGUUACUUUCCCUGCUACACACAUGUAUCUUGCAAUAAAAGAUGGAGAGAUGCUUGUUUCAUGAAACCUUUGUCAGAUUGUGCAGGUGGUCCGAAUUGUACGAGGACCUAUAUGUUAUUUAACAUCCAUAAUAAUACCCACAGGUGCCAAAAUAUUGUUUUUUUUCUUAGUAAAAGUUGUCUUACGGACAUUUCUCAUAUCUGUCAUGUCUGGACACCUUUUACCAAAACUGAGUAAUGUUUAAUUCUUGGGUGAAAUGUCAAUUAAAAUACAUCAGGCCAUGGCUAGAGAUCUUAAAUCUGCCAUCUGCAAUUAUGCCAAAAUGUUUUCCUUCCAUGUUCAGCUUUCUACAAUUCAAGCCAGCAGUGGCUUCUCAUGCAAUUUGUGAGUCCAACUCACAAAUGUCAUUAAAACGCUUUGUUUGUUCUGGCGCCAUCUGGCUUGAUUGUUUAUUUGGAUCAUAAUUAGCUCCUGUAACAGCUGAAUCUCCGCUCCCUGGGGUCUCCCUUAAUAUACUUGCAAUACAUAAAAAUGAAAUUGGUACUACAGGUGAUCCAGCUGACACUUCUUAGUUGGUUAAGAUGCAGAACGGCCCACAAGCAAUACCUCAAAGAGGAGGUAUAGGAUGAAGGUCAGUCCUGUACAUAAUCACCACAAUGGAAAGUCAGACGGGCUUUUCACACGUCGCAAUGGACAUCAAUAUUACAGCAGGGGCAUCAAUAUGUCAAACUCUUUACCUUAGCCCAUGUUGGGCUCUUGGGCACUGCAGGAUGUCCCACGUCGGAAGCCGUCAGACCCAAUAUGUCAUUGUGAUGCCGCUCCUGCCCAAAGCCACGGGAGCAAUCACUGCCGUUUGCUUUUAGCACUUCAAGGUCCUUUGGAUCCCACCUAAAAGUGAGGAGCUGGAAGCUGAAAGUGUCGACCUGUGCUGGUCCCUGGGUGUGCAUUGGGAAGCAGGACCGCACUGUGAUAUUCUGGGCCAGAGGCCUUGACAGGCCUUGCUUCCCUGUGACAUUUCAGCUUUCCUUCUGGCUCAGGUAUACUGGAUUGUUCACCUGACCUCUUUGCACAGAGGAUCCCAACUUUUCCAUUACCAACUUCACACAGACACAAGCCACGUUCACGGCUUGUCAUUUGACCUUUCUGUCCUUCAUACUUAAACAUCCGGAUUAGAAGCUACCCAAACGGCCUUGAAGAUAAGCGAAAAAAGAAUCUUUUUUUGUCUACAAAUAUUUUUACUGCACAUGUUUCCUUCUACAUUGUCUUUCGGUUCAGCUUCUUCAUGCCCCUCAUUUUAAAAUUAUAUUGAACUUUAUAUCCCGAAAAGUACCUGUUGAUGGUGAGAUGCAAGCUUCACAAUUGUUUCAUGUGGAGAUCUGUUUCAGAUGUCUGAGAUGCGAAGACUCAAAGACUAAAACAUGAAAGAACGAAAUCAAAAUAGAGGCCAAUUGGUGACGCAAAUACAGUUUACUUGGUAACACAAGAAAAAGCAGAAGCGAUGCAAAUAGAAUAAAAAACAAACACAAACCUGAGAACCACGUGGUUUAUCUUGGUCGGCGCUAACCUUUUUGUUUUUAAUCUGCAACAUCAAACAGUCUCUUCAAACUUCACUUUUGACAAAUCCCUGUGAUCAAUUAUUAGUCUUUCAUAGAUUUUGCAAGAAUUAGAAUAGAAGAAAUUUCACUGAAAACAUUUAGUUAUACUCCUAUCUCCCCAUCAUCCAGUAAGAUGUCUUGGUAAUAACAUUAGAUUUGUAAGUGCAAAGGAAACAGUGAUAAUAAUUAAUUAGGCCAUAAAGCGCUCUUUAAAUUAUUAAAAACGGACAAAAGUUAUAAUGAAUCCGAGUCCAUAGAAAUGAAUAUUUGAGUCUAAGAUAUAGUUGAAGGCAAAACUAAUAUCUGCUUGAUUCAACUUCAAACACUGCUCAACAAUUGUAGUUGAGCGCAAGGCCUUUAGUUGAAGCAAUUUAGUGAAGACGUAUAAUAAGAAAAGAUACAAAAGCCCCAAUAGCUAUAAAAGGUUCAAUAAAAGAUCAAUAAAGUGACUCUUCUUGGAGGGAAUCCAACACUCAACCACAUUGCUUGGCUCCAGUUGCAUUAUGAGCAGCAGUUUGAAGAAAAAGCAGAGGUCAGAUUAUACAACCAACAUAUUUUGCCUUAUUGAGACGAACCUUUUAACACAUGGCUAGAUCAUCAUUACAACUGGUUUGCCAAGGCUGCACUGAGGCUUUUCAAAAUACAUAUUUAAUUCACACAAAUGAAUACACAAUUAAAAAAAUCUUAACCCUAUAACUUAAAGCCCUUUAAACGCACCCACUGGCUCACAUACACUCAUUUCCCAGCCUGUAGAGACAACAAUUUAGAUUUAACACCUGGAAUGAAUUGUAAGUCUUGUAUCUCGCCCGCAGGGAGCUGCAUGACAUACUGCGUAAAAACUAUUAGCAUUUAAGGCAGCAAACACACGGAUAACCACUGUCGAACGCCACGCGGAACCGGGUGAGCUCCCUGCAUGCUAAUGGAAGCUGGAGGAUAAAUUAUUAAAGACGACAUUACAUAAUGAAUGAACUUCCUUCAAAUGAGCAAUGUUGAGUGGCAGAAGGGUUGAGGGAAGAUUGGAGGCAGGAUAGCCCCCUCAGAGAGUUUGACAGUACGGAGGCCCAAUGGGGAGGCGUAGGUUCCAAGUGAGCCCACGGCCUCGUAGGCAGGCGUGAGAUCAGAGGAACAACGUGCUUCGCUCAAAGGAGGGACUGGCACGAGGAAGUGGGACAGGAGGGAGAAGCCAAUGUGUGGCGAUGAGCCGCUGCAUUGCUCAGAGAUCAUGAGAUCUUAAUCAGAGGCAUUACGGCAACCUUUGGCUCCCGCUCAGGUUAGGGCCCGUUAGCACUGGUAGCUCACACAUCGCCGUUUUGAGAGGCGUUGACAGGCCAUCCAGAUGUUGCCUCGAUCUCGCUUGAAAAUACCCAACAGUAUACAUGGUUAUGGUAAGUGGCACGGCAUCCAACAGAUGAAAUAAACAAACAUAAAAGGCUGUAUGCACAAUAACCCAUUAGCAUGCAUUAGCAAGUCUAAUAAUAAUAUGAAGCAGGCCAAUCGGCAAUCUCACAUUUAAGUGAUAAGUGUGUGCUGUUUUUAACGGAGCACACUUUACAUUUUGGUUUUACUGUGGAACAAGACACAAAUACGACAUUGACCUGUAGGAGAGAUGUUUUUCCUGCACUGAUUGACAAUAUAUUCAAGAAUGAUGCAGAUGAUGGACAGUCCUCUGUCACUGACAAGCUUUGAGUCGUGCCAUCUGCUGAGCAUGCAGGUGGAAUAAAAAACACAACAGAAAUGACUCACAAGGCACUAAGAUCCUAAAUAAGAAAAAAACCACAACAUGAGAAGAACAGUGAAAAGACUGGCAUGAUAAUUGUCAAAGAAGAAGACACACCAGCAGUUUGUCAGCUACUUGUUAGUCUGCCUGUUUCUUCUGAUCGUGUUCCUUUCAUCAUCCUCUCUCUUUCUAAUGUGUUUGACAGUCAAAGCACUAGUUUUUCUUCACUGUGUGAUUUCGAUAGUUCCAAUUGUUUUCUGUUUAAGUGGGCUGCUAGUUGACUUACUUGGAAUUAUUUAACUGUUUUAAUGUGUAGCUUCCUGGUGACGCUGCAUCUUCAAAGAAAGGGCUUCCAAAGAGGAGAAAUAAAAGACUAGUUAAUGUUUCCAUUGCUAUCCAAGAAUCUCCCUCAUGCUCAAUGUUUCCCUUCUAAAUAAGUGCAUUUUUGUUGUAGUAAAGAGCCUUUCCUUUAAUGGGUGUCUUUGAAGCGUAGUUUCUUUUUGUUGGACCAAAUAAAGACCAGUUCCACAGCCUAAAACACAUUUUUUACCUUUAAUUCGGUAACACAAAUUAACCCCCCUCAGUCAGUUGAGAAUUAAAUUCUUUUUGGGUGGGGUAAAUUUACUGUUUGCAUGACUGAAUACGGAAGAGUAUUUAAAUGCAUGUCUGAGGUCUGCAGAAAGUUUGCAGCCCUUGAGGUCAAAAAAUGUAAUGAUGCUUGUUUUAACAGAAAUGCAAGAUGAGUAGUCCCUCUCCACAAUCAAAAUAUUGCUCCAUUGCUCAGCGGGGCGUGAAAUCCUAACGGGGGGCGAAGCACAUUUUCAAAGCGUUUUAGCCGAGUAUUAAUUGCUGCACAACUGAGGAGGCUUGAGAACCAAUCAAGACUUAUAAGUUAAUCAUAGGGGUAAGAGGCAGCUGUUCCUUCAGAACGCUAUAGAAGACAUUUAAAAAGCAGGUCACGCUGAUCCCCUUGAAUCUAAUUUACCAUAAAGGGAAUGUCAGAGUUCUGCUCCAAAAGCACUUUUUCUAAUGAACUGUAAUUACCUUUCAUCACCGCAAUUCAGGUAUGGCUUACAGUUUAUUUUAUUAAAUCCUCACACAUCCCCAUUCAGCAUGCAAUGUGUGGUUUGUAAUGUUGACCCCUGCUCUAAAAUAUAUAUAUCUCAUCCGGAAAGUAUUCACAGCGCUUCACUUUUUUCACAUUUUGUUAUUUUACAGCCUUAUUCCAAAAUUGAUAAAAUUCAUUAUGUUCCUGAACAUUCUACACACAACAACCCAUAAUGACAAAGUGAAAAAUGUUUUUUGCAAAUAUUUGCAAAUCUGUUAAAAUAAAGAACGAAAACAUAGCAUGUACAUAAGUAUUCACAGCCUUUGCCAUGACACUCAAAAUGUAGCUCAGGUGCAUCCUGUUUCCACUGAUCAUCCUUCAGAUGUUUCUACAACUUGAUUGGAGUCCACCUGUGCUAAAUUCAGUUGAUUGGACAUGAUUGAGAAAGGCACACACCUGUCUGUAUAAGGUAUCACUGGUGACAGGUGCAUAUCAGAGCAUAAACCAAGCCAUGAAGUCCAAGGAAUUAUCUGUAGACCUCCGAGACAGAAUUGUAUCGAGGCACAGAUCUGGCGAUGGGUACAGAAAGAUUUCUGCAGCAUUGAAAGUCCCAAUGAGCACAGUGGCCUCCAUCAUCCGCAAAUGGAAGAAGUUUGGAACCAAUAGGACUCCUCCUAGACUC